AUGUGGAUAGCGUCUAUAAUGGUUACCGUCUGCUGCAUAUUUACUGCCUUGAACUGGAACGCCACCAGGACCUGUAACAUUUGCUGCCUCUGCACUCUGGUGUACAAAUACAUCUUCCUUGGUGUCAUUCCUGUUGAUGAAACCAUAUCCGUUCCUUACAUUGAACCAUUUUACUGUUCACAAAACUUUUUGUCCCCGCCGGCAGGCGCCGCCAAUGUGAGGCAACCCGGGCCACCACUCCCUGCGCCGCUGCUCAUAGUACCAGGCUUGGUGUCAGCGGCGCUGAGGGCGGGGGCAGUGGGCGGCUGCUGGGUCUCAGCCUCGCUGCUCAUGGUUGCAGUGAUGGUGACUGGGGCUGGCUGCAGCAGCUACGGCUCCUCCCGGGAUGUGAUGGUAACUAGGCCAGCAGCGGCGGCGGUGGGGCUGCUCAGGGCUCUCUGGGGUCUUCUCUCUGCUCCCGCUACCGAUCGAACUCCAAUUUUGUAUUUUUUAGUGUGACAGGGUUUCUCCGUGUUUGGUCAGGCUGGUCUCGAACUCCCAACCUCAAAUGAUCUGCCCUUUUCGGCCUCCCAAAGUGCCGGGAUUACAGGUGUAAGCCACUGCACCCUGCUAUCCUUUUUAUAUUUUUAAUUUUAAUUUUUCAUUUUUUUCUUUUCCCUCUUUUUUCAGAGAUGAGGUCUCACUGUGUUGGCCAGGCUGGAGUUCAGUGGCUAUUCACAGGUGUGAUUGAUCCCACUGCUGAUCAGCACGGGAGUUUUGUCCUGCUCCGUUUCCAGAAGGGACGGUUCACUCCUUCUUAGUCAACCUGGUGGUCCCCUGCUCCCAGAUGGCCACCAUCUUGAUGCCUAACUUAGUGUGAAUACCUGAUCAGCAUAGCACACUGCAGCCCAGAACUCCUGGGCUCCAGUGAUCCUCCUGCCUCAGCCUCCUGAGUGGCUGGACUGCAGGUAUGCUCCACCACACCUACCUAACCAUUUUUUAAUGAAAAAAAAAAAAAAAAGUGUAGUUUUCUCCAUUUUUUUCAUUCAAAAGUCUUUUUUUUUUUUUUUGAGACGGAGUUUCGCUGUUGUUACCCAGACUGGAGUGCAAUGGCACGAUAUCAGCUCACCGCAACCUCCGCCUUCUGGGUUCAAGCAAUUCUCCUGCCUCAGCCUCCUGAGUAGCUGGGCCUACAGGCACACACCACCAUGCCCAGCUAAUUUUUGUAUUUUU
rnacentral:lncRNA from 1 species